AGUUCGAAGAGGAUGCGUCCAGCAGUGGCCCUCCACUCGGCGGUGAUCCGAGACACCCAAUCCCACGCUUAGUGGCAACACCAUCGACUCAGUGGAGAAGCAGUGUACAUCCGUCUAUGCAGACAAGACUUCCUAUCACCUCGAUGUAAUGCUAAUGAAAACGAAUAGAACUCCCCUUGUGCCCACCCCCAUGACGGUGCAUCUCCGCGCCCAGACGGCGGCCGCGGGCCCCUGCUCCUCCCCGCGCGCCACCUCGGCCGCCAUGAGCGCUGGCGUGCCGCCAAUCGGGCCAUUGGAGCCCACGCGCCUGGCGCACCUGGAGUUGGCGAGCUGGGCGCGCCCGUCGGCGCCGAUCACCACAUUCCUCGCCUUGACGUCCCCGUGCGCCACGGACUCCUCCCCGUGGAGGUACGCGAUGCCCCGGGCGACGGUCGCCGCGUACACCCGCACGGCGGCCUCCGCGAGGCGGCUCCCAUUCCUCUCCACCUCGUCGGCCAGCGAGCCGCCGGGCGCGAAAUCGAGGAGCAGCUGGAACUCCUCGCCCGCGGCGGCGCGGAAGCCCAGGCAGGGGAGCACGUGCGGCGGGCGCGAGGGCGGGAUCUGGGGAGAAGAGGACAAGCGUGGGAAGUUCCUCCCAACGCUGCCGGCUGCCAAGGACGGCAACUCGUAGGCGCCGCGGGAGCUGAUGCUUCUCCAGCGCUUCUCUGUUCCUCGACCUCAAGCACCACUUGCUCGUGGUGGUGGUGCUGCUUCUCCUGCAAUCACCAAAGCAGAGGGAUCCUCGAGCAAGAAGGUGUGCGGCUUCGGUGCUGUGCAGCUCCCUCGCGCCCUUGUUCAACGUCCCAUGCAGCAAAGUGCGUCGGCUACUGCCCCGGGAGCUCCAGUGGCCGUUGACACGGAUGAUGUCCAGCAGCUGCUCGAGGAAAUGCCUCUACGGUUAGUACACUUCCUAAUUUCUCAGGUCCAUUAACCUGUUGCUUGCUCAGUGGGAUAAGAAUUGAUUCUCCAUCAUCGACUGCCACGCCCAUUCUUCGUCUUUGAAUGAAACAACUUUUCACCGCCGUUCUUGCAAAUUAUUCUUUCACCAUCCUUGUUUUCUACUUUGCUCACUUGAUAUGUUAAGUAAGUGUCUUAACGGUGACAUCAGUUUAUUAAUUUGGUUGCACAUGGAUAAAUAUAUUUCCUCAAGUACUCUAAUUUUUAUGUGAAAACUUGGUGCUUAUUUAGUGCGCAGUGCUAUGACGUUAUGGUCCAUUGAAGCAGAUUCCCGAAUUUCUCCACUGUGCAUAAUAGAGUGGUCCUUUAGCUGGUCCUAUCCUUCACAGAUGCAUUGCAUUACUGUGUUAUUUUGAAAUGUGUAGUUCCAUUGCUAUAUUAGGUUGUCUUUUAUUUCAAUGUAUGCUACACAGCUGGGUGAAGCAAUAGUUUGUCAAUAUUUUUAGGCUGCCUUUUUUAAAUUUCUUUACACAAGUGCUUAAAAUGAUUUUGUUCUAGGAGGUAUUAUCAAGCAAUGAUUCAUGUUCCAUACUAUGGAACACAGUCCACAUUUUGCUUAUCCACAUAGUUCUGCUUCAGACUCCUUUUUGAAUUGCUCAGAGCAACCAGCUCCUUAAACCAUUUCUUAUGUUGUUGUUUCCAUUAAUUACUUCUUCCAAUCUAUCUGCUAGCACGGACGUGUUUAAUUUCUUGCUAACAUCUCUGCUAAUUUCUUUUCAGGUAGGAAAUGAAACAUGUACUUUAACCUGUAUAGCAAACUGUCCAGAGCACCUUUAUUAAAAGUUCCUAUAUAUGGAUCAAUAUGUUUUCCAGUUGUCUUGUCCACCAGGCGCUUUGCAAUGUUUCAGAGGUGCAAAUUUAUUUUCAGAUUCUGAAGCUUUUCAUUUUGGAGAAUGUUCUGCAUAUUUUUUCCUCCCUUGCACUUGCAACUUUGUUUUCCGCCGAGAUGAGCAAUAGCCUCAGAUUCUUAUGCUGUUCAUUUAUGGAGAAUGUUAUGUAUAUUUGCUUUUCUUCCUUGCACUUUGAACUUUGCCUUGCUGGGAAUAGCUGCCGGCCGUCUCGAUCUUGCUCCUACGGGAUUGCCUCAGACCCUCAGCAAUGCGGAGAUCGUUGGAUUGGCUCCUUUAUGUUGCUUGCACACACGUGCAACGACCAGAUAGUGGAGAAAAAAAAUCUUCUGCAACUCCGGCUGGCGGUGCUGCUACAAGCCACAGUGAUGAGCUUGGGAACUCAUCGGCCCCGCUGGAAGAAGCUCCGCGUAGUAGAGAAGGGUCGGGAGGAGCUAAGGACUGCUGUGGCGGAAUCAGCGAGGAAGUCUGAUCGGACAUUUUAUAUUAUACGUGAGAGAAUAAUCAAGAUGUAUAUAGGUAGGAGUGGUAAAAGGUCUUAAAUUUUAGCUUAAAUAAUCUAAAGGCUGAGCUCUUAUUUAUACAAUUUUAAAUUAAAAAUAUAUAAAGAUCAAGCUGGAUUA